rnacentral:tRNA from 3 species
GGCUCCUUCGUCUAUCGGUUAGGACGCCAGAUUCUCAAUCUGGAAAGACGGGUUCGACUCCCGUAGGAGCUGCCA